rnacentral:rRNA from 1 species
CCUACGGCGGCUGCAGUGGGGAAUAUUGGACAAUGGGCGAAAGCCUGAUCCAGCCAUGCCGCGUGUGUGAAGAAGGCCUUCGGGUUGUAAAGCACUUUCAGUGGGGAAGAAAGCCUUGGGGCUAAUACCCUCGAGGAAGGACAUCACCCACAGAAGAAGCACCGGCUAACUCCGUGCCAGCAGCCGCGGUAAUACGGAGGGUGCGAGCGUUAAUCGGAAUUACUGGGCGUAAAGCGCGCGUAGGCGGUCUGAUAAGCCGGUUGUGAAAGCCCCGGGCUCAACCUGGGAACGGCAUCCGGAACUGUCAGGCUAGAGUGCAGGAGAGGAAGGUAGAAUUCCCGGUGUAGCGGUGAAAUGCGUAGAGAUCGGGAGGAAUACCAGUGGCGAAGGCGGCCUUCUGGACUGACACUGACGCUGAGGUGCGAAAGCGUGGGUAGCAAACAGGAUUAGAUACCCGAGGAGUC